rnacentral:snRNA from 1 species
CGACUUCCCCUGGGGGUA